rnacentral:rRNA from 1 species
AUUGAACGCUGGCGGCAUGCUUUACACAUGCAAGUCGGACGGCAGCGGGGUAGUGCUUGCACUACUGCCGGCGAGUGGCGAACGGGUGAGUAAUAUAUUGGAACGUACCGAGUAAUGGGGGAUAACCAAUCGAAAGAUUGGCUAAUACCGCAUACGCCCUGAGGAGGAAAGCAGGGGACCUUCGGGCCUUGCGUUAUUCGAGCGGCCAAUAUCUGAUUAGCUAGUUGGUGGGGUAAGGGCCUACCAAGGCGACGAUCAGUCGCGGGUCUGAGAGGAUGAUCGGCCACACUGGGACUGAAACACGGCCCAGACUCCUACGGGAGGCAGCAGUGGGGAAUUUUGGACAAUGGGCGCAAGCCUGAUACAGCCAUGCCGCGUGUCUGAAGAAGGCCUUCGGGUUGUAAAGGACUUUUGUUAGGGAAGAAAAAGGAGCGGUUAAUACCCGUUUCUGCUGACGGUACCUAAAGAAUAAGCACCGGCUAACUACGUG